rnacentral:lncRNA from 1 species
UAUAGGUAUCUCACAUUUUCUUUAUCCACUCAUUGGUUGAUGGAUAUCUACUAUCUUUAACAGAUGGUUCCAAGGUCAUUGCAAAAGAAGAUGCAAAGAGGAUGGAAAAUUGAAGGUUCCUAUGCCUCAGGUCUGGAAAGGAUCUGCUUCUGCCCUGUUCCAUUAGCCAGAACUCAGUCACAUGAAGGCCAUGAGGAAGGACUCUGGAAGAUGUCUGAAUACUAGAAACCCCGAGAGCCAGAAGAAUGCAUUCGUCUGUGGUUCAAGCUAAGUAUGGGUAGUGCCAAGAUGGUUUCUGAUUUGGUCUCCACCACAUACAGUGAUUCCAAAGGGGGGUAAGACAUCCUUCCUCCUGCCCCAGUGUCAGCCCUUUGCAGUCUAUCUCGGUCUGCUUUUCAAGUACCCCUAAUAUCUUGGCACUUCCUCAUGGUGAAAAGUCUCCUUCCUCCCCUUCCUGAACCCAUCCAUGUGCCCAAUGCCCAAAGGACAUUUGGAGGGAUGCACUUAAAAUCAAAUUCGUCCACUGUCUAUUUGUUGAGAUAAGGUGUGGUGACAACAGCAGUCCAAGGGGACUACUAGCAGCCUCAGAAUCCAGCCACCCAGCCCUAGCCUUGUCAGGGCCACUCCUGGGCUGGGCACACUUGUAGGUGGGGAGGGAAGGGCAGCAUUGUCAGAGAAGACAGACCAAGCUGCAGCUGCCCUACUGGGAGGCUGGGAGGCCUGAAUAGCUUCACAGCGCUGGGCCCUGCUUGCUGAAUGGGGGCUUGGCUCCUCCCUGGCGGUGGUCCGGAAUGGAUGACAUUUUCAUUGCAAGCUAACAAGGGGAGAAAUCCAAUUACUUCACAAAGAGGCUCCUGAAGGGGCCUCACAGCCUGGAGAAAGAAGGGGAGGAGAAGAGGGGGAGAGGGAAGGAAGAAGGGGAGUGUGUGUGUGUGUGUGUGUGUGUGUGUGUGUGUGUGUGUGUGUGUGUGUGUGUGUGUAGGGAGGCUCCCACCCAGACCAGGAAAGGAACAAAGCCCUCAGGCCUCCAGGACAUGGCCUCCUGCAUACAGGCAGGGAGAUUGGAACUGGGGGGCUUUUAAUUGAUUUCCAGUGGGUCAGAGGGUCUGCCUGGAAACUCCAGGUCCCUGAGAGCUCCAGGCAAUCAGGCUUCCUCCCUGUGGAACAACCUGAGUGGUGCAGAAGAGGCCCCAGCCCUAUUUCUCUGCCCCAUCAGACUACAGUUUCCCUGACCUGAGUCAUCAAAGGCCCAUUAUACACUUUUUUACCUUUGUU